rnacentral:tRNA from 1 species
GGGUUCAUAGUUCAAUGUUUAGAAUAGGCGGCUCCAGACCGCCAGAUGAGGGUUAGAUUCCCUCUGAGCCCA